rnacentral:rRNA from 1 species
GAUGAACGCUGGCGGCGUGCCUAAUACAUGCAAGUCGAGCGAACGGACGAGAAGCUUGCCUCUCUGAUGUUAGCGGCGGACGGGUGAGUAACACGUGGAUAACCUACCUAUAAGUCUGGGAUAACUUCGGGAAACCGUAGCUAAUACCGGAUAAUAUUUUGAACCGCAUGGUUCAAAAGUGAAAGACGGUCUUGCUGUCACUUAUAGAUGGAUCCGCGCUGCAUUAGCUAGUUGGUAAGGUAACGGCUUACCAAGGCAACGAUGCAUAGCCGACCUGAGAGGGUGAUCGGCCACACUGGAACUGAGACACGGUCCAGACUCCUACGGGAGGCAGCAGUAGGGAAUCUUCCGCAAUGGGCGAAAGCCUGACGGAGCAACGCCGCGUGAGUGAUGAAGGUCUUCGGAUCGUAAAACUCUGUUAUUAGGGAAGAACAUAUGUGUAAGUAACUGUGCACAUCUUGACGGUACCUAAUCAGAAAGCCACGGCUAACUACGUG